rnacentral:lncRNA from 1 species
CCCGGCCUAGAACGAUACCCUACUUACAUCUAUACUACAAUUGUCAAAAAGAGGGUUUAAUUUGUGUGUCAAGAAAUUCACGCAUCAAAUUUUGGCGCCGUUGCCGGGGAUUAGCAACUUUGCUAAUCCUUUUAUUUUUGUUUUUGUUUAUGUUUAUAUUGGUGUUUGUGUAUUUUACUUUUGAUAUUUGAUUUAUUUUUCUUUCUUUGAUUUUAGGUUCAAAUGGAGCCGAG